GACGAACGCUGGCGGCGUGCCUAAUACAUGCAAGUCGAACGCAGUGGGGACGGGUGAGUAACACGUGGCUAACCUCCCAUCAGAGGGGAUACCCCUUGGAAACAGGUGCUAAACCGUUACUGAUGUAUGAACCCGCGGUGCAUUCGCUAGUUGGUGAGGUAACGGCUCACCAAGGCCACGAUGCAUAGCCGACCGGAGAGGGUGAUCGGCCACACUGGGACUGAGACACGGCCCAGACUCCUACGGGAGGCAGCAGUAGGGAAUCUUCGGCAAUGGGCGAAAGUCUGACCGAGCAACGCCGCGUGAGUGAAGAAGGUUUUCGGAUCGUAAUACUCUGUUGUUAGAGAAGCGGUAUCUAACCAGAAAGCCACGGCUAACUACGUGCCAGCAGCCGCGGUAAUAC
rnacentral:rRNA from 1 species